rnacentral:lncRNA from 1 species
UGUUAUCUUCCCAUGCUUCAACAGAUGAUAGUGGUUUCAUUUAUUUACCAUUGAUGAAGACAAAAUAAGUUUCGUGUGCAUAUUCGGUUUUUUUCCCCUACUAAAUAUCAUUCAUCCUGCUCUGUGACUGGUGGUCUUUAUUAACACAUUGCCUCCAAAUGGUUAUCCACAAAUAAUUUUUGUUUUAAUUGCAUUUUUAAAUGUGCAUGUAGCUUUGCUUCUUUGAUUCUUAAAUUGACUAGUGUAUGUCUCUAUUUUUAAUAUAGAUCAGCUUUGAUAAUUUUCUGAUCACAAUGACAUACUAUCAUAGUAAAGGUGGAUACCUAUUAAAAACAUUUAACCUGCCGAGUUUGUUUGCACCUGUCCGUAGUCAGGAAUCUGAUGUUAAUUAGUUUGUUGAUGUGGUUCAUACAGGUGUUUCUCAUUUGUCGUUUUU